GCUAGUAAUCGCGAAUCAGAAUGUCGCGGUGAAUGCGUUCCCGGGUCUUGUACACACCGCCCGUCCACACCAUGGAAGUUGGGGGUGCCCAAAGCCGGCAAGCAAAUAUGCUGUCUAAGGCAAAACCAAUGACUGGGGUGAAGUCGUAACAAGGUAUC
rnacentral:rRNA from 1 species